CUGAGGAACCUCCUGAACACCACCAUUUUCCCUUACGUAAUCAACAAACAAACAAACAUCUCAGAUGCUGCUAUUAUGUCAGUUUGUAAGCCCAAUGGCACAACAUACCAAUGCCGGUGUGAGGAGCAGUUUGGUUGGCCUUGUGGGAUGUGCUACACUUAUGGCACAUGCAGUGAGAUACUUAACAAUACCUGUGGAUGCAUCAAUGCCAUUCCUCCAGAUGGUGUUUACUGCCUGCCACUGCCAGAUAACUUCACUUGUCC